rnacentral:rRNA from 1 species
AUUGAACGCUGGCGGCAUGCUUUACACAUGCAAGUCGAACGGUAACAGGCCUUCGGGCGCUGACGAGUGGCGAACGGGUGAGUAAUGCAUCGGAACGUGCCCAGUCGUGGGGGAUAACGCAGCGAAAGCUGUGCUAAUACCGCAUACGAUCUGCGGAUGAAAGCGGGGGACCUUCGGGCCUCGCGCGAUUGGAGCGGCCGAUGUCAGAUUAGGUAGUUGGUGGGGUAAAAGCUCACCAAGCCAACGAUCUGUAGCUGGUCUGAGAGGACGACCAGCCACACUGGGACUGAGACACGGCCCAGACUCCUACGGGAGGCAGCAGUGGGGAAUUUUGGACAAUGGGCGCAAGCCUGAUUCAGCAAUGCCGCGUGCAGGAAGAAGGCCUUCGGGUUGUAAACUGCUUUUGUACGGAGCGAAAAGGCUCCCUCUAAUACAGGGGGCUCAUGACGGUACCGUAAGAAUAAGCACCGGCUAACUACGUGCCAGCAGCCGCCGUAAAAC